UUACCUGUAAUACGCAUUUUGUUAUUUGCUGAUUGAAACUGCUAAUUAAACUGUGAAUUGAAACUAAUAGGAAGAAAACAACUCUCGCUCUUUAUAUAGCUGACGUGUCUUGCGCAUCCGUUCUGUGCAUUUUAUUUCACAACACUUUGCCUUUCUUCUCUGCUGUUCACUUCAAACACGCUCCAUGCGACCGCAAUGCUCUCGUAUCAGACGCUUGCUCGAUCACCUGCUCGUUUGCUGUCCCGUGCGCGCACGAAGCGCGGUGGUGCGUUUACGGGCAGUCGGAGAAAUCAACGGCAACAAAAAAAAUUACAUCCAGCCUAGUUAAGACCAUACCAAAGACUAUAAAAAUGGGACCCAUUGCCUCCCUGCGUGUGUGACGAUCAUUGGGACUUAAAAAAAAAAAAAAAAAAAAAUUUAAAAAAAAAAUUUUUUUUUUUUUUUUGUACCCAUGUAUAAUGCGCACCCCAGAUUUUAGGACAAUAAAUUAGUUAAAUUUUGCGCACUAUACACGGAAAAAAACGGUACAUCAGAUGGCCCCUUUGUCCACAGCUUGUCAGGAAGCCCAGCCAAUUCCUCCUCCUCCUUUUCAUUCAAACAACUGUUAACUAGUCAGGGACGCGCAUACGCUCCUGCCCUACCAACACCUACUUCACACACAGUUCGCUUCCACAUGUCACAACUGGUACUGUAGCUCCACCCAUCAACUUUAUCCUCAUAAUCAGUGACAGAAUCAGCAAGUUUAAUCCGGCAACCCACAUCUGCCCAUGUUAUACUGUGAGGUUUAAACAAUGGAAUGUGGGGUACAGCCGACAACUUGUAUUUGUCAUCCUGAGGAGCGGGUAGAAGCACAGCAGCAGCUGCAAAUGACCUGCGAUCAGUGUACAGAGCAGUGAUUGUUAAAGUUACUUCUGUGUCACUGAGAAAACUUUCAAUAUAGUCAUCUUGUGGAUCAGUGAGGAUGUUCAUGGUGACAUGUAAGUCAUCACAAGUCAUUUCCGAUUCAGGUCGUGUCAAUUGUUUUCGGGCUUCACUCAGCAAAUUGCCUGGUAGCUUGAGAUUCUGUUCAGCAGAGACGUCAUAAGAACAGAAAAUCCGCUCACCUGCUUGUGCAGCAUAUGAGUCCACAUCUCUCACUCUACAUGCUCGCAUGCCAUCCUUUACUGGAAUUAUUGCAAUUCCCAAUCUAGUCAUCAGAUCUCGUCCCAGAAGGUUUAUGGGACAUUUUGGGGAUAGCACAAUCGAGACUGAAGCUAUGACUCCCGUUUCAUCAUCUCUCACUACAACUGGAUUGGAGAUACUCUCCCUGUGUACCUGCCCAUCAGCAGAUUUUACCCAAAUAGUAUUUUGGGAGGCCUUUAGAUUUGGGACUUUAGUUUUUAUUACGGUCUUACACGCUCCGGUAUCACACAAAAACGCUACUUCACUUCCUCCAAUGUUUAAGGUAACAUAUGGUUUUUCUUUUAAUGCAUUCAAAAUGUCCCAUGCUGCAUGGACAUCUACUAUCUCUUCCUCCGUAGGAGGACAAGAGAUCACAGGGGGGCAAUCUAGUCAUGCUGAGAAUUUGGCUCUUCCUCUGCCCCUUCCUCCACCCUUUGAUUGGUGUCGUUUUGCCUGACGACACUCUCUUGCGAAGUGUCCUCGCCUCCCACAGUUCCAACAGGUCUCUGAAUCUGGUGGGGGUUUUGAAUUAUGUGGAGGCCUGCGACCCUGUUGGCCUCUACCUCUUCCUCUGGCCUGCUGGGACCCAUGAAAGAAGACUGUUGUAUCUUCAUCUAGGUCAGUGCUUCUCAAUUAUUUUCUGUUACGCCCCCCCCUAGCAAGAAGAAAACUUUUCGCGCCCCCCCCUCCCCACCGUGACUAUCCUAACUUGUCUUGUAAAUCGUAAAAUGUUGCACUGUCGCAAACGUCACAGAAGUAACAAUGAGAGCACCACUGCCCCCUGCUGGGAAGAUGCGCAAUUACACUUUAUUCUAGUACUGCAAAAAAAAAGCCUGUUCCCCAGGGUCACACGCGCCCCCCCAGGUAUAGCACGGCGCCCCCCAAGGGGGGCGCGCCCCACUAUUUGAGAAGCACUGAUCUAGGUGAACAUCAUCAUCAUCGUCUAGAUCAGGGGUGGGCAAACUACGGCCCGCGGGCCACAUCCGGCCCACGGGACCGUUUAAUCCGGCCCGCCGACCCUGAACAAAUUGUAUUAUUAAACUUUUUUUUUUUUUUGGUCAUUUUGCCUGCAAUGACUGCGUUUCCCCAGUAGAUGGCGAAGCGCUCGCCUGCGCAUUCACUACCGGAAGCCGUGUCAGAAAGCUUGGCGCACACUCACAAGUGCGUGUACGUACUCAGUAGUACGGACAUGGCGCACUCUCGCUCUAUUCGUAUCAGUCCCGAAUUUAGAUCGUGGGCUGUGACAUCUGCAUUCUUGUAAUUCGCGCGCUGAGCUUUCAGAUGCAGUUUUGCGCUAAAGCCGCCCACAAACCUUCCCCUGGAAUCCUUCCAUUAAAAUGAGUCGCCCAAGGAAAAGCAGUGCCGAGCGUUUAAAAGAGAGUGGCCAAUUUGGCUCGACGUACGCGACGUGACGUUCAGCCACAUCAACAUCAACCCAUCACAGAUCGAGAUACCCCUCACCGUGUUGCUGUUUUGAUGACUUUAUUUGGAUGUAUGCUUUCACCGAUUCUUCAAGAUGAUAUAUUUGGUCAGAAUGUUUGCCGUUUGAUGUGAUCUCAUAAGAUAAACAUCUUUCAUUAAUCUGACCUGCAGGCACUGAAGUGAUGGAGACUGUUAUUCAUAAUAACAGUGUCGAAUUUUAUGAGAAUCAGCAGUUUUUUAGUGAAUUAUUAUUAAAAAAAAUUUAAUGCUGUUAAUAAAUGCAUUUGUUUUCAAAAAACUUGUUUGGAAUAUCCAUGCUUUACUACCUACUAAAGGCCAAAAUCUUUUAUGCAAUGACCUUUACAGGUCGCUUAUAUGACUUCACACAAAGCCUACGUCCAUCUGCUCCUGGUUCGGCCCUCCGGUCCAAAUUUAGAACCCAGUCCGGCCCGCGAGUCAAAAAGUUUGCCCACCCCUGGUCUAGAUGAAAUACAUCAGAACUUUUGCCUCUUUUGAUCACUUUUUCAGCAUGGCUGGCCCAUUGCAUAGUUGUUGUCACACUUGCAAAAUCUACUUCCACCAAAUGUUUCCUCACCCAGUUGCCGAUUUCAGGGCGGAAAUUCGUAAGGAGCGCAUUCUUAAGCUGUUGCUGAUAAGCACUCUCAGCUGCAUCAUUGAAUGGGAUGCCACUAUGCACCCUGAAGUCUUUUUCAAAUCUUAAGCGAAAAUCAUCAGUAUCUUCCCCAGGCUUCUGUUUAAUUCCUGCCAAAUGACCAUAAUUCGCUCGUCUUCGAAAUAUAGUUCUCACUCUUUGCACAAGAUCAUUCCAUUGUGCUGCAUACUCCCCUACCAAUUGAUUUCCCUCACCGGGAUAGGGAUUAUUGAUUGAUAUGAUUAUUUCUACCUGUAUAAUGACCUCUAACCUUUGCCCAGUCUUUUCCCAAAGAAGACAUAGCAGCUUCUCCUGCCUCAUGUCCGUUUCAGUCUAUAAGAAUGUAUGAUUCCAGCCAUGUCUUCUGCCCAUUUAUCUGGGUCUUCAGCAACAGGGGUAACCCCUUCAACUGCUUUUCUUGCCUCUUCCAAAGUCCAUGGCCGAAAAACAUACGUAUGUGGAGGUUGGCCUUCCCCUACAAUAGGGUUUGGCACCUGUAUCAUUGGGCACUAGGGGUGUAACGAUACAUUGAUACACAUCGAUUAAUCGAUAUAAUGCUCUACGAUUUAUUGGCAUCGAUGCUAAAGGUAAACAUCGAUUUAUAUCGCCGUGUUUGACCUCGGACAUUAGACGCGACUUUAUUUUGAAAUCCAGUUCAUUGUUGCUUGCUUCCUCUUUCUGGGAGCAGUGCGCUCGGCGUUGUUGUGUUGUGAGCAGAGCACGCAGGUGAAAGGGGAGGCGACAACUAGUACGCGGCUCCUGUGCUGGUGCUCUGGCUAGUGUCCAAAAAGACGAGGAAAUUUGCUCCCCUUUAGGCUUCAAGUCAUUCGUUUGGAAGCACUUUGGAUUCCAAAGAAAAGAUGGCUCAACGGACAAGACACGUGCAGUUUGUAAAUCCUGCCAUGCGGUGAUCAAAUAUUCAGGGAGCACAAAUCUCGCCGCACAUUUAAAGAAAAAACACGACAUCAAAGUUCAGUGUUAAAGUAAGCAAUUUGUAUACUACAAUACUCUUGUCAUUUCCUAAAUAAAGAGUUUGCAGUACCUUGUUGAUUUUGCGUAUGAAUUGUUAUAAAUCAUGAUAUUGUUCUAUAUUUUUAUUUAAAAAAAAAAAAAAAUCGAUCGUAGAGCAUUAUAUCGCGAUAUAUCGUGAAUGAAUCGCAGCAGGCUUUAAGAUAUCGGCAAAUAUCGUAUCGCAGUUCUUUAUAUCGAUAUUAUAUCGUAUCGUGAAAAAACCCGCGAUUUACACCCCUAUUGGGCACACAUCAUCAUUGUCCAAAUUUUGGGAAAACCUAGCAGCAGUGGUCAAACUUCUUGUUUGUACAGGACUUCUAGCAAUGUGACCCUGACUUUUUCUUCUGUUAUAUGGGGGAGGGUGCAGGUCUGUUAAACCUGGAUACAAGUUUUGCAUACGAGCGGAAGAUCUCUCUUGCUCCGCUUGAGCUGCAUUUCCAGCUGCGGCUGGAGCCGUGGCCGGGACAGUGCGCCUGCGCACUGUGGCCUCAUUGUCUUCCGGCCUGACAAACAUAGACGCAGCCUCAUCACUUCUCAACUUUCUAUCUUUUGUCUUUUGGAUUUGUUCUCUUCUCUCUUGUGAAGCACUCAACCACAUUCUAGCACAAAUCAAUUCUUUCUCUUUACUUUUCUUUUUCAGUCCCUUUGACUUCCUAUUCACACUCUCCUCCAAAACAUCAACCACUAUCUUCCAGACUUCCACUUUCAACUUUGCUUCUACUCCAUACUUUUUCUUCCACUUUGGCAUGUAUUGCAUACAAUUACGAAAUUUACUCGCCAUGUACUUCUCAUCUCCUUCAAGAGCUAGGGAUUUACCGGUGUUGUUCCCCAUCUUAAUUUGGUAUUUUAAGUUUAUACAAUUUUUUUAUUUCUUUUUUUUUUUUAUUUGAGGAUCCUCAAUGCAGGUUUAAAUUGACCUCUCACCAAAUUCUCUCUGCAGUCAAUUUAUCCUACCAGUCGCACUCUCUCAACCACACAAACACCAACGCUUUUUAUUUCUAAGCCUAUCCAGGAUGGGUGUAAAACCCUCCAACACAGCUUGGAAGAACGGACAAAAAAAAAAAGAAUCUACGCCCUUCUUCAAUUAAGAAAACGAAGCUCUGUUCCUUUUCUUAGCCCGUUCCUUCCUCUGGGACUUGAACCCAAGCCGUCUCCCGCGCUUUUUAUUUCUAGGCCUAUCCAAGAUGGGUGUAAAACCCUCCAACACAGCUUGGAAGAACGGACAAAAAAAGAAUCUACGCCCUUCUUCAAUUAAGAAAAAGAAGCUCUGUUCUUUUUCUUAGCCCGUUCCUUCCGCUGGGACUUGAACCCAAGCUGUU